rnacentral:rRNA from 1 species
AUUGAACGCUGGCGGCAGGCUUAACACCUGCAAGUCGAACGAGUGGCGGACGGGUGAGUAAUGCCUGGGCAACUAGCUUAUGGAGGGGGAUAACUACGGGAAACUGUAGCUAAUACCGCGUACCAUAGGAUGAUCCCAAGUGGGAUUAGGUAGUUGGUGAGGUAAAGGCUCACCAAGCCGACGUUCUCUAGCUGGUCUGAGAGGAUGACCGGCCACACUGGGUCGGAGACACGGCCCAGACUCCGACGGGAGGCAGCAGUUGGGAAUAUUGCGCAAUGGGGUGAACCUGACGCAGCCAUGCCGCGUGGAUUAAGAAGGCCUUCGGGUUGUAAAGUUCUUUCUGUAGCGAGGCGUUAACUACAGAAGAAGCACCGGCUAACGCCGUGCCAGCAGCCGCGGUAAUAC